rnacentral:rRNA from 1 species
UACGUAGGGUGCAAGCGUUGUCCGGAAUUAUUGGGCGUAAAGAGCUCGUAGGCGGUUUGUCGCGUCUGCUGUGAAAACCCGAGGCUCAACCUCGGGCCUGCAGUGGGUACGGGCAGACUAGAGUGCGGUAGGGGGAGAUUGGAAUUCCUGGUGUAGCGGUGGAAUGCGCAGAUAUCAGGAGGAACACCAAUGGCGAAGGCAGGUCUCUGGGCAGUAACUGACGCUGAGGAGCGAAAGCGUGGGGAGCGAACAGG